AGAUUGAACGCUGGCGGCAGGCCUAACACAUGCAAGUCGAGCGGUAGAGAGGUGCUUGCAUCUCUUGAGAGCGGCGGACGGGUGAGUAAUGCCUAGGAAUCUGCCUAGUGGUGGGGGAUAACGGUUCGGAAACGGACGCUAAUACCGCAUACGUCCUACGGGAGAAAGCGGGGGACCUUCGGGCCUCGCGCCAUUAGAUGAGCCUAGGUCGGAUUAGCUAGUUGGUGAGGUAAUGGCUCACCAAGGCGACGAUCCGUAACUGGUCCUGAGAGGAUGAUCAGUCACACUGGAACUGAGACACGGUCCAGACUCCUACGGGAGCAGCAGUGGGAAUAUUGGACAAUGGGCGAAAGCCUGAUCCAGCCAUGCCGCGUGUGUGAAGAAGGUCUUACGGAUUGUAAAGCUAACGUUUAAGU
rnacentral:rRNA from 1 species